CGCAGUACGAGGCUGGACUCUUGAGGAUGAUGAAUGUACUUCCACCUCCCCUCCCCGAGAUGUAUUUGUGACGGAUGAAGAAGCAAAAUCCGAGUCAAGAUCAACGAUCUCGCCCGGUCGACGCUUCCACUGCGGACGAACGUGAUCCCAACCUUCCCCAGAUCCACCUGAAGAGCUUCUCCCAGUGGGGUCCGAACUCUGACGGCGCUCUGAGCAUGGCUGUCUGGACGACUGCUGCUACCAAGCGCCUGCAUGGCGUACAAGGGGUGAAGUGUCUUGACCAGGCGUCACACCACCGGCUUGCAUUUAUCUCCACAGCGCCGAUGUUUACACGCUGCAACAGCAG